UACGUAGGGUGCGAGCGUUGUCCGGAAUUAUUGGGCGUAAAGAGCUCGUAGGCGGUCUGUCGCGUCGGCUGUGAAAACCCGGGGCUCAACCCCGGGCCUGCAGUCGAUACGGGCAGACUAGAGUGCGGUAGGGGAGACUGGAAUUCCUGGUGUAGCGGUGAAAUGCGCAGAUGUCAGGAGGAACACCGGUGGCGAAGGCGGGUCUCUGGGCCGUAACUGACGCUGAGGAGCGAAAGCGUGGGGAGCGAACAGG
rnacentral:rRNA from 1 species